GACGAACCGUGCGAACGUUAUUCGGAAUCACUGGGCUUAAAGCGCGUGUAGGCGGGUGGGAACGUCGGCCACUGAAAGCCCCCGGCUCAACUGGGGAGGGUCACGCGAUACUGUUCGACUCGAAGGCAGGAGAGGGAAGCGGAAUUCCCGGUGUAGUGGUGAAAUGCGUAGAUAUCGGGAGGAACACCUAUGGCGAAGGCAGCUUGCUGGGACGGUACUGACGCUGAGACGCGAAAGCGUGGGGAGCAAACAGGG
rnacentral:rRNA from 1 species